AAGACUAUACUUUCAGGGAUCAUUUCUAUAGUUCAUUACUAGAGAAGUUUCUCUGAAGGUGUAGAGCACUCCCCCCCCCAAAAAAAACCAGAUUG
rnacentral:snoRNA from 10 species